rnacentral:rRNA from 1 species
GAAAGUAAAAAAGGGCGCAUGGCGGAUGCCUUGGCUCUCGGAGGCGAUGAAGGACGUGAUAAGCUGCGAUAAGCUUUGGGGAGGUGCAAAUGACCUUUGAUCCAGAGAUUUCCGAAUGGGACAACCCAAUAUCUUGAAGAGGUAUUAUCUUACUAUGUAAGAGGCUAACGCAGGGAACUGAAACAUCUUAGUACCUGCAGGAAAAGAAAAUAAACAAUGAUUCCCCCAGUAGUGGCGAGCGAACGGGGAACAGCCCAAACCAUCCAUGUUACGGCAUGGGUGGGGUUGUAGGACUACGCCGUUGCAUGAAGACAUCAGAGAAGAACUUUCUGGAAAGAAAGACCAUAGAGCAUGACAGUUGCGUAUUCGAAUGUUGUCGAAGCAUAGUAGUAUCCUGAGUAGCGCGGAGCACGAGGAAUUCUGCGUGAAUCUGCCGGGACCAUCCGGUAAGGCUAAAUACUCCCGAGAGACCGAUAGCGAACCAGUACCGUGAGGGAAAGGUGAAAAGCACUUCGAACAGAAGAGUGAAAUAGUUCCUGAAACCGUGCGCCUACAAGCGGUCGGAGCUCGUUAAUGAGUGACGGCGUGCCUUUUGCAUAAUGAACCUACGAGUUGCCUUUGCCGGCAAGGUUAAGUGUGACGACACACGUAUCCGAAGCGAAAGCGAGUCUGAAUAGGGCGUAUAGUCGGCAGUGGCAGACGCGAAACCAAGUGAUCUACCCUUGGCCAGGUUGAAGGCUGGGUAACACCAGCUGGAGGACCGCACCAAUAAGCGUUGAAAAGCUUCUGGAUGAGCUGAGGGUAGGGGUGAAAGGCUAAUCAAACUUGGAGAUAGCUCGUACUCCCCGAAAUGCAUUUAGGUGCAGCCUUGUGGGUUACUGAUGUGAGGUAGAGCGACUGAUAAGAUGCGAGGGCUUCACCGCCUAUCAAGUCUUGACAAACUCCGAAUGCGCAUCAGUUUUACCUCAGGAGUGAGGGCAUGGGUGCUAAGGUCCGUGCCCGAGAGGAGAAGAAUCCGGACCACCUGCUAAGGUCCCGAAAUGACAGCUAAGUUAAACUAACGAAGUCUGACUGCUAAGACAGCUAGGAUGUUGGCUUGGAAGCAGCCAUUCAUUUAAAGAGUGCGUAACAGCUCACUAGUCGAGGAGUCUGGCGUGGAUAAUAAUCGGGUAUUAAGUUGUCUACCGAAGCAGUGGGAUCAUUGAAAUGAUCGGUAGGGGAGCAUUCCAGUCAGCGUCGAAGGCGUACCGCGAGGUAUUCUGGAGCGUCUGGAAAAGCAAAUGUAGGUAUAAGUAACGAUAAAGGGGGCGGGAAACCCCCUCGCCGAAAGACUAAGGUUUCCUGAUCAACGCUAAUCGGAUCAGGGUAAGUCGGGUCCUAAGGCUCAGCCGAAGGGCGAUGCCGAUGGCAGAAACGGUUAAUAUUCCGUUACUACCUCCAGGAGUGAUGUGGAGACGCAGUAGUGACAAUGCCGCCAUCUGACGGAAUAGAUGGUUGAAGGGUGUAGAUGUUGAUCUUGGCAGGCAAAUCCACCAUGAGAAUCGAACCUGAUAGUAUGCCGCGUCCCUCGGGACAAGGCAAUAGUGCAUGUAAUCAUGCUGCCAAGAAAAUCCGCUAAACUAAAUCCUGUAGGUACCCGUACCGUANACGGACACACGUAGUCUGGAUGAAUAUUCUAAGGCGCUUGAGUGAUUCACGGUUAAGGAACUAGGCAAACUGACCCUGUAACUUCGGGAUAAAGGGUCCCUACCCGGUGACGGGAGGGCGCAGAGAAUAGGUCCAGGCUACUGUUUAACAAAAACACAGGGCUGUGCUAAAUCGAAAGAUCCUGUAUACAGCCUGACACCUGCCCGGUGCUGGAAGGUUAAGAGGAGACUUCAUCGUUGAGAGAAGCGUUGAAUUGAAGCCCCUGUAUACUGCGUGCGUAUCUUUGACGGUCCUAUGGUUGCGAAUUUCCUUGUCGGGUAUGUUCCGUCCUGCACGUUUGGUGUAUAGAUCUUGGACGCUGU